ensembl:lncRNA
GUCUAGAGAGCAAUGACCUGUUAAGUGACCUGUUAAGUGCUAAGUGCUGAGCCCUCACCUAUUUGGCAAGGUGCCCCACCCUGCCUGCUUGCUGAUUCGCUCGGGGUUUGCUCUGAAAAUCACUCCCUUCACAGUGAGAUAACAACCCACCUCCCUGCGUAGUCGUGCAAAUAGUUAGUUGGCUUACCGUUUCACCUCUUCUGAACGGCCCACAUGAUUCACACACUGACUCCUCUCUGUCUGGGUGCCUCCCCAAAGCUUUUUCUAGGCAGGGGGCGUGGAUGCAGAGCCGUUGCCCUGGCAACGCACACUUCAUGUCAGCCGCUCUCGCUAGAGCUGCCGGACUGCUCUGUUAUCUCAGGAUUCCCUGGAUAAAGGAACCGGCUGAAACCCCCCUGUACCUCAUGAUCAGUUGCUGUGGUUCUGGCUGGGACAGCUCCGAGGCAGCUAACCUCGGCAAUCCAACAUAAUACAACUGGCUGACAGGAUGCAACUGAACAAUCCUUGUAACAUGAAAAGGAAUCAAAUAAAAAACAGACAGACAAGAACCCAUAGGAAAAAAAAAAAAAAAAAAUGUAUAAUUAGAGACAUACUAGUAAGAAGUUGCUAAGAAAGUAUAAAAUGUGCAUAUGUACACACUUUCACUAUACAUAUAUUGCUAUGACCUGGAUUUCUGGGGCUUCUGAAGAGUAGUAAAAAUAUGCAUGGCAGAGAAUGCAUUAAGAUUUUGCUGAAUUACAAAUGAAAAACAUCCUCCAGAUACUCUGUAUUAAAGCUACUUAAAAGAAAAUUAGAUAGAUAAAAGAAAAUUUCUAAGAUGAAUGAACAGGUUAACAGAAAAUAUAUACUUUGAUAAAUUGUCCAAAGAGUAGAUGUAUGAACACAGUGAAGAAAAAGAUCCUUCUGUGGCACAAAAAAAAAGAGCUGUUAUAAUAAGGAUCUCAAAAUUUAGCCAUGGGGAGAAUACAUCAGGGUUGUGAAGAGUGAGAACAGGACCCUGCAGUUAUAGAGAGAAGGGCCUCAGAGCAAGAAAAGGGAAAGUAGCUUCACAAAGUAGAAAUAAGGAGCAAAUAGAGAUAGUUUAUGUAAGGAGUGUUAGAAAACAAGGGAUUCCAAGCACUUUCACAGACACUAGGUCUGGAAUAUCAAGGAGGAUGAAGGCCAUAAAGAUAAGGACUGGAGAGCAGCUCAAAAACAUUUGGCAGGGAGGUGAUUAGAUGUCUACAGGGCAAGUUGAAACCGGUUCAGGAGAUGCCCCCCCUUUGGGGGCAGAAGUUUGCAGCAAGGAAGGCUACGAGCCUUCGCGAGGAAGACUAUGAGCCUUCAUCAUCAUGACCUACUACGCACGCGCAAGGGGGGGGAGGGACUGCAUGCUAAUGGGCUCUCGGGAAUGUAAUGAAUAUGUAUCCGAAUUCCUGUCAACUAUUGAUUAUGUAUUAGUUCGAUCUAUAUCUAUAGCACGAUUUCUCCUGAUGGUGUACAAGUUAGGUGGAGCGAUCCCCCUUGCACCAGGGUGUACGUGCGUCACCAAUAAACACAUGCCUACUCUGUAUCCUUACCGGCUAUAGGGUCUGAUUUCCACACGUCAGUUGAUCAUAACUAAUUACAUUACAGGCAGUUGACUGCCUAUAGAUUAUGUAAAUAUAACUGUAAACCUCACAUACCUGAGUUGCUCAAUUACAUUUCUUCAGUAUCAGGAUGGACACCUCGGAGUGGUCUGAACAGAUUUACCCCCACUAGUCCUGAUUCUGCUACCACCUCAGUCCAGUAUCCUUGCCUCGCCUCACUGUCCCUACGGAAGUGCCCAGUGCUCAGGAUUGGGCCACCCUGGUGUUCCUGGAUAUCCUGAGCCUGGCUGGGGCAAUGGGCUGCACCCUGGUGCCAGGCCCUGCCCUGAUCGCAAUCAUGGCAAGACCCUGUGGAUCCCAGCACCCUGGCCACACGGAGCCACUUGUCUACUGUGUGCCUAGCCAGUGUGCCCCCUUGUCUUCUGUUGUUGUUUAUUUUGUGAUAGUUUAAAAGCAACCACUUCUCUGGAGGAGACUGUGACAGCCUGUCACUUUGCUGGACCAAAUGUUACAUAAGGACAUAAAAUAACUGUCAAACCACAACUGUUACACUGAGUAUAUUUUCUUCCUAUUUUCCUCCUAUUUUCUUCAGUAAGUACAGAUAUUUAUAACACAAAUAGAAGUGGAGUAUAGCAAAAAUAAAUAAAUAAAUCAGGGAAAAAUAAGAUUUAGAACAGG